CGGAAGUUAGCUCAUUUGGUAGAGCGAUGGGUGUAUCCCCCAUAGGGAAUAGGUUCAAAUCCUAUACUUUCAA
rnacentral:tRNA from 1 species